GCAGAUUGAAGUAGAAACUGUUGACAGAACAGGUACUUUUUUGGGAUCUUUGUGGGAGUCAAGAUCCAAUGUCGCAUUGAUACUACUCGAAGCUGGUUUGGCCAGGCUUCAAACCUCUUUUGGUACAGAUAGGAUACCUGAUAUCCACCUGCUUGUGCAGGCUGAGCAGUCUGCUAAGAAGCAGAAAUUGAAGGUGAGAUUGAGAAUUGUUAUCCUAGCACAACUAUCCCACUUUCUAAUGUUUCUUAUAGUUUCUUUUUCUUCUUGUUGAAGAUUUGGGAGAACUAUGUUGAAGGAGAAGAAGUUUCUAAUGGCCCAACUUCUGAAAGAAAGAAAGAAGAAUUUAAGGUAUAAAUUUAAUAUUUGAUCAAUUCAGCUAAGUACUUGUCAGAUGAUCAAUAAAGUUGUGACAUAGUUUACUUGUAUAUACUCUCAGGUAGUGGUUACUGAAGUCCUUGGCGGUGGAAAGUUUUAUGUUCAGCCAGCAGAUCAGAAAGUGGCAUCCAUUCAGCAGCAGCUUGCUUCUUUGACACUCCAGGAGGCUCCUUUGAUCGGUGCUUUCAAUCCAAAGAAAGGCGACCUUGUCCUUGCACAGUUUAGUGCGGAUAAUUCCUGGAACCGAGCAAUGGUGAGAGUGACAUCAUAAUACCACACUUUUUGCUCCUUUUUCUUUCCUUUAUCUGCAUGCAUAGUGCAAAAUUAUAUCUUUGUUAUUUCUAUGAUGACUUUCUAAAAUUUUCCUGUUAUCCAAUACCUGAAGAUUGUGAAUGCCCCUCGAGGUGUCGUUGAAUCUCCAAAAGACAAAUUUGAAGUGUUUUACAUUGACUAUGGAAAUCAAGAAAUGGUUUCUUUCAGCCAAUUGCGACCUGUUGAUUCUUCCGUGUCUUCGUCACCUGGCCUUGCGCAACUGUGCUGUCUUGCUUAUGUAAAGGUUCCAAGUUUGGAGGAGGAUUAUGGGCAGGAAGCAGCUUUUAGUCUGAGCGAGCACACACUUAGUGGGCCAAAAGAGUUUAAGGCUGUUGUUGUAGAGAGGGAUGCGUCUGGCGGAAAAGUCAAAGGACAAGGAACUGGUACUGUCCUUAUGGUAACUUUGAUUGAUGAGGAGGCUAAUGAAAGCAUAAAUUCCCGCAUGUUGAAGGUAUGUUUUUAUCUCCUGUGGCUAAUUAAGAAUACAAACAUGUAAACUUUUUCUUGUGAAAUCCCUAUCCAUGGGAUUUUCAAUGUGCUUACCUUCUUACAAACUUGUUUCAAAAUUAUAUAUGGAUAGUCAACUGAUAUUUUUACUUUUUACAAUGUAUUUACUCUGGGGGUUUUCCAUUCCACAGCUAAAUUAUUAAGCUAUGGCAUCUCUUCUACUUUGUAUUGCAUAUUGUAAGGGAAGACCUCCCUUCUGUAUGUGGACAUUCUCUUCCAAUAAUUGACAUGUAACAUUUUGCAGGAAGGACUUGCUAGGUUGGAGAAGCGGAGGAGAUGGGAGCCGGUCGAAAGAAAACAGGUGAUUGACGAAUUAGAAAAAGACCAAGAAGAAGCUCGUACUAAGAGGCUGGGCAUGUGGGAGUAUGGAGAUAUAAUGUCAGAUGACGAGGACAGUGCUCCAGUAAAGAAACCCAGUGGUGGCAGGAGGUGAAUACAUGGUUUUCUAGUAACCUAAAUAAUUUAGGUGAGAACAACAUAGGAUGAAAAGUGCUACAAGAAANAAGGAUGGCGAGGCUCCACCUAGUGCAGGCAGUCAGCCGACAGGGAUUAAUAUUGCUGAGUUAAUUAUUUCUCGCGGUUUUGGUGAAGUCAUUAAACAUCGUGAUCUUGAGGUAAGAUCAAAUUACUAUGAUUCCCUUCUUGCUGCCGAAUCGCGUGCCAAAGCUGGGAGGAAAGGGAUGUAUUCCGGCAAGGAUGCUCCAGUGAUGCACGUCAAUGACUUUAUAACGGUAAUAAUAAGACAUAAUCCAUUAUUAAUGCUUGGAAUGAUUCAUAUUAUUAACUUUCCACAAUAAAAUCUAUUGCAGGCUUCAUCUAAAAAAGCGAAAGAUUUCUUGCCAUUUUUGCAACGGAAUAGAAGGAUGACAGCUGUUGUGGAAUAUGUGUUUAGCGGUCACCGAUUUAAAUUAUAUAUUCCAAAGGAAACUUGCAGCAUCGCUUUCUCGAUCUCAGGAGUGAGAUGCCCAGGACGAGAUGAGCCUUAUUCCAGUGAAGCGAUUGCACUAAUGAGAAGGAAAAUCAUGCAGAGGGAUGUUGAGGUAGUGCAUAAUGUUUUUAUGAUUAUUUAUGUCCUAGUUAAUGUUCAUAAAUUCUCUUUAUAGUCUUUGAAUAAAUGCUUUCUCUUUUGCAGAUUGAAGUAGAAACUGUUGACAGAACAGGUACUUUUUUGGGAUCUUUGUGGGAGUCAAGAUCCAAUGUCGCAUUGAUACUACUCGAAGCUGGUUUGGCCAGGCUUCAAACCUCUUUUGGUACAGAUAGGAUACCUGAUAUCCACCUGCUUGUGCAGGCUGAGCAGUCUGCUAAGAAGCAGAAAUUGAAGGUGAGAUUGAGAAUUGUUAUCCUAGCACAACUAUCCCACUUUCUAAUGUUUCUUAUAGUUUCUUUUUCUUCUUGUUGAAGAUUUGGGAGAACUAUGUU
rnacentral:lncRNA from 1 species